UUGCAACCAGUUAAGUCAAGUGUACUCUUCCCUGUGGGGCCUGGUGUGCAAUGGCUGCAAAGAGCAGCCCCUUGGUCGUGAUGGCAGCCUAUUGUUUGCAUGGGUUGCCCUAAGGUACCUCGUAGACAGCC